GGCGUCUCAAUUAGUCCUUAUUUUUGUAAAAUUGAAUCAAAUAGGUCCUUACCGUUAAAUUAGACCUAACGUCGUUAAUACAUAUUUGACGUGUCACAGUGGACUAUAUUUUUAAUUGAUGUGGCUGAAUGAUGUGGAUUUGGAUUAUUUUAAAAUUAAAAAAAUUGAGAGUUACGAUCCCUACCCACCGUAGAACUUCUUCUUUCACGUUAGGCUUUCUCCCCUAAAGUUUCAUCGGAGACUUCUCCCUCACCUUUGAUUCUGUCAUUCAUUCCUUAAAUUUAAUCGUAAAAAUAUAGAACAAAAGUAUUCUCUUGAGUUGAAACAGGUACUUCUGCAUAAUAUUGGUAAUCUUCCCUGGGUCAAUGAAUGCCUAAACAAACUUCUCUUCACAACAAAACUUCCCUUCAUGGUAGAGUCUGGUAAUGAAGAGUCAUCAUCUGCCAUCCCAUCAUCAUUCUUCUCAUCAGCUUCACCAAUGUUAUCUCCAGAAUCCGAAGAAGACAACAGAGAAUAUAGAAAUGCAGUGAAUGACAAAGUAUCAGGCCCAUCAAUAAUUGUCAGAAAUAGGGUUGAGAAGAACAGUGGCUAAAUAAAAAACAAAGUAAGCUUCUUUGCUCCCAAACGACUGCUCUUUACCCGUAAGCUAUUCCUAUUUAUGGAAUAAGAUGCAAUUCAUGAAGAAUUUCCACCGCUAAAAAUUAAAAUAAAAAAACAAACUAAGAUUCCAAUAUUUCCAGUGCUUUUGUUCAUUCAUUCGCCCUUUUUUUCUCGAGAUUAAGGUUCGUCAAUUUGAGGUUAAACAUCUGUGCGAGUUAGGGUUUUCGUGAUUAAGGGUUUUUCUGGUAUUUGAUUUAGGAAUUUUCACAGGUUCUGAUUUUGUCUCGCAGUGGUGAAAAUGUUGGAUGAACUCGCGAUUAUGUUCCUGCAAUCUGCAGUUGGCUGCCAUGGAAGAGUGAUUUGGUGAUUGGAGAAGAUGAAGAAUGACAUUCCAGAAGCAAUGUUUGGUGCCGACAGUGCUUCCAUGUGGUCUAUGAAAUAAGAUGACCACUUUGCCCUUAUUUAAAUUUUAUUUUCCCUCUUUGUACUCCAUUUUUUAAUUCAAAAAAUUAAAAAAAUACACUUCACUCACGUUUUGAAUGACACAUCAUUUAAAAAGACACUGUUAGCAUGCCACAUAAUCCUCUUCUUAGCGGCGUCAUCUCAAUUUGAC
rnacentral:lncRNA from 1 species